rnacentral:rRNA from 1 species
GACGAACGCUGGCGGCGUGCAUAACACAUGCAAGUCAAGGGGGCCCGCAAGGGCAACCGGCGAACGGGUGCGUAACACGUAAGCGACCUACCUCGAUGUGGGGCAUAGCCGGCCUAACGGCCGGGUAAUUCCGCAUACGCUCUUGGAGGGGCAUAUCUCCGAGAUGAAACCAGCAAUGGGCAUUGAGAGGGGCUUGCGGCCUAUCAGCUAGUUGGUGAGGUAACGGCNCACCAAGGCUACGACGGGUAGCUGGUCUGAGAGGAUGGCCAGCCACAUUGGGACUGAGAAACGGCCCAGACUCCUACGGGAGGCAGCAGUGGGGAAUCUUGCGCAAUGGGCGCAAGCCUGAUCCAGCCAUGCCGCGUGAGUGAUGAAGGCCCUAGGGUUGUAAAGCUCUUUUGUGCGGGAAGAUAAUGACGGUACCGCAAGAAUAA